rnacentral:ncRNA from 1 species
AGAACAAGCCCAAGGUGCCCUCAUAUAUAUCCGAUAAUACGGUUCGGAUGUUUCUACAAGUUACCGAAAAUGACUUGGCUAUGAAGGUGGAUUUAGCUCAU